GGUUGUAUAGUGUAGCGGUUAUCACAUCGGAUUCUGAUUCAGUUCUUCUGGACUUUCCGGUAACCCCGGUUCGAUUCCGGGUACGACCU